ACUACUCCAAACCCAUGUGGAACCAUACCAAAGUGUUGCCUCGGCGGGGUCACGCCCCGGGUGCGUCCACCCCCGGAACCAGGCGCCCGCCGGAUGGACCAACCAAACUCUUUUCUGUAGUCCCCUCGCGGACGUUAUUUCUUACAGCUCUGACCAAAAAUUCAAAAUGAGUCACAACUUUCAACAACGGAUCUCUUGGUUCUGGCAUCGAUGAAGAACGCGCCGAAAUGCGAUAAGUAAUGUGAAUUGCAAAAUUCAUUGAAUCAUCCAAUCUUUGAACGCACAUUGCGCCCGCCAGUAUUCUGGCGGGCAUGCCUGUCCGAGCGUCGUUUCAACCCUCCAACCCCUCCGGGGGGUCGGCGUUGGGGACCUCGGGAGCCCCUAAGACGGGAUCCGGGCCCCUAAAUAAAGUGGCGGUCUCGCCGCAGCCUCUCCUGCGCAGUAGUUUGCACAACUCGCACCGGGAGCGCGGCGCGUCCACGUCCGUAAAACACCCAACUUCUGAAAUGUUGACCUCGGACCAGGGUAGGAAUACCCGCUGAACUUAAGCAUAUCAAAA
rnacentral:rRNA from 1 species